AGCAUCCUGAACAGGGAGAAUUAGUGUGAAAUGUUCUAGAAUGAUGCUGCCCCAGCCUCCAUGUGUUCAUUUCGUAAGCAUCAUUUGAGCACCUACAGUCCCUGCCUUCCCGGAGCUCACUGUUCAAGAGAGUCUGACAGUUGAAACAUCAGGUGCAAGGCGCUGUGAUAACGGGUGAGUCUGGGGCUGAGGAAGCACCUAGAAGAAGGCUGACUCCUAAAGGAAGCUAUAUCUAAGCUGAGGGCUAAAGGCUCAACAGAGCACGUUUGUGUCCAAUAUCCAUCUAUCACUUCUCCCUUGCAAUUAGAAUAUCAUUUUAUCCUGGUGGGCAGUGUCCAACUAAAAGACUACAUUUCCCAGACUCCCUUGUAGCUAGUAAGGAAUAAUGAGGUAUAAAUGGAACUGUACCGGGUUUCUUGGAAGGAGGUCUAUCUCGUCUGGGAGAUGCAGCCUGGUUCCUCCAUUUUCCUGCCUAGUACGUGAAACUGAUGGCUGGAAUUCCAGCAGCCAUUUUGUACCAUAAAGCAAACUCGAGGAUGGAAGCCAACUGCUGAGAAUGGUGGAGCAGAAAGUUAAAAGGAGUUUGCCUUCCAGACAACUGUGGACUGACCCUAAUGGAUACACCUACAUGUGCAGAGGCCCAGAGGAUGGACAGGGGCAGAAUCCAAACACCCAAGAGAAAGACGAGGAGACCCCCAGGACCUCACUCCAAGGAGACCAGGAGGUCAAUGGGCAGAGCUGGAAGGACUGGGCCACCUGGAGCCAGAUCCAGCAGCCCGUUUCCUCCAAUGCAUCACGUAAUAUGCUAUGGACAUGUUCUUCUGGAUGUACUUAUCUGCACCAGCUGUUCUAAAUAACGUGAGUGAUGAAACACGCCUUUCCUCCAGGAUUUCUGUUCCCAGUGGUUCUUCAUCCUCAGUACGCCACUGCCUGAAUCUAACCAAGUUUCUAGACCUAAAGAACAGCUUAUAAGAAAUAUAGGCUGAGGAAGAACAAGUUAAAUGACAUCAUAAGGAAGCGUUCAUCCCAAUCCAGAAUAUGGAGCAUCCUACUUGACCAGUCACCCAGGUUCUCCAGAAAAUCACAGCCAUGAAAAGAGGGGAGGAGCUGCGACAGACAAAGGGACGGAGGAGUCGAGAGAGACUUAACUGAAUGUGGACCCUGUGUGGCUCCUGAUUUGGACAAACCAGCUGGUAAAAGAUAAUCAUAUAAAGAUAACUAAGUUAAUUUAUGCUAGAUGUGAUAAUGACAUGAUGGAGCUAGACACAUAGAGAUAUAGAUAAAGAUAUUCGGUUCUAAAUGACUGAAAGUAUUUAUGACUGAAAUGUCAUGACGUCUAGGAUUUACUUUAAAAUACUCCAGUAAACAAAUGAACAAGCAACCCAAGGGAGCAG
rnacentral:lncRNA from 1 species